rnacentral:lncRNA from 1 species
UAAAUUUACGACGAAAUAUUUUCGUCGUAAAUGUUCGUUGUUACGGGCACGUUUUCUUGUAGUGUAUAACUAGUAUGCAUGCUCUAAUAUUCACCAUAUAUUUGUUUCUUUCACAUUUCUAUGUCAUUGCUUCCCUCUUGGUUGCUUUCAUUUCUUUUAUUUUCAACUAUAAAAUUACUCUACCUUUAUAUUAGAAAAAUGUUGAAUACAUACAGCUAUAUAUCUAUAAAGUGCAAAAUGCAGCU